rnacentral:rRNA from 1 species
GACGAACGCUGGCGGCGUGCCUAAUACAUGCAAGUAGAACGCUGAAGAGAGGAGCUUGCUCUUCUUGGAUGAGUUGCGAACGGGUGAGUAACGCGUAGGUAACCUGCCUUGUAGCGGGGGAUAACUAUUGGAAACGCUAGCUAAUACCGCAUAACAAUGGAUGACACAUUUCAUUUAUUUGAAAGGGGCACUUGCUCCACUACAAGAUGGACCUGCGUUGUAUUAGCUCGUAGGUGAGGUAAUUGCUCACCUAGGCGACGAUACAUAGCCUACCGGAGAGGGUGAUCUGACACACUGGGACGGAGACACGGCCCAGACUCCUACGGGAGGCAGCAGUAGGGAAGCUUCGGCAAUGGGGGCAACCCUGACCGAGCAACGCCGCGUGAGUGAAGAAGGGUUUCGGAUCGUAAAGCUCUGUUGUAAGUCAAGAACGGGUGUGAGAGUGGAAAGUUCACACUGUGACGGUAGCUUACCAGAAAGGGACGGCUAACUACGUG